GUGCACGGGCUGCGCUACACGGGGCACCGCCGCCGUUCCUGAGCCGGGGACCCGACAGGUCACCCAUAGCUGUUCCUGAGCUGGGAGUCUGCGGGGCUCCCAUCCGUUGGCGUGCGUUGGGGUAUUACACCGACAAGGAGAAGAAUCUGGCUGUGGAGCACCCGUAGCCCUGACAUGGGAAGAGCACUUGGUCGAGAGCUUCCCCCAGUUUUCAGCUGGCUGCCCCGCUGCAAGAAGCUCAGCGUGACCUGAUCAAGUGCCCUGGCUUCGUGCAGCCUUGACCUGGAAGAGCUUGCAAGCUGCUAAGGGUCCUCUGUCCCCUCCGGGUUCGGCCCUGUGCCGUAAGCGCUACUUGUGCCUCCCGGGCAGUGGGGAGAGCUGCCCUGAGUUAGGCGGGACCGUAAAAUGGUAUUAAAAUAAUGGAGACACUUCUUCAGGAGCAGUGUGGGUGAUCGUGCUCUUAAUGAGCAGCUGUAAGUGCAACAUCCAUCUAUAGAUAAGAAAAAUUGUUCAGAGUUUGUGAUACCUAUUGCAUGUUGUGCUCCUUGUAGUUCCACAAAUCAAUGUGUGGUUUUGUCCAUUAUAAAUAGCAGACAACUUUUGUGGAGUUUUCAAGAAAAAUGAUGAUCUACUGCAGCAUUAGGCUUAAUACUAUUCCAGAAUUUCUGCAUAGUAUGUUGAUUAAGACAACUUCUGUGUCCUGUAUUUCAUUUUCAUCUCUCUGUUAAUACAUCAUGAGUGGGGUAGUCCUAGUAAAAUUACAUGUUGGUUCUAUCUAAGGAUUUUUACUCAGAAGAAGUAUCUUCAGGGGUCAUCUGUGGAGGGAAGAUUUGGUCAGCUCUUAAAUUAGCUUCAGAACAAGAGCAAAUGGCUAUUGAUUACCUCCUAAUAAAUGUUCUUCUAAAACCAAUUUUCUCUUUUGCAGGAGAAAAUGUAUUCGCUUAGAGUUUCCUUGGAACCACAUAUCUUCAUCGCCAUCGGAAUUCCAUGGCUGUUGUCUGAACUUUACUGGUACAAUUCUAUUGGGGAAAGAACAUUUAAUAUGCACAGGUGGAAGAGAAGAAGACCACAGACUGCAAAUCUCUUAAAAAAGAUUAAGGAAUUGUACUACCUAAGGAAAUGUUGAUCAUGAAAAUCAGGGAGGAACAAGUGUAAGCCUGGAAACAGCAUCUUCCUGUGAAUUGGUGCUGGAAGCUCUAGAGACUGAGAACUCGGUAAGGGAACACAGCGCAGCACAACGGAAACAGCCCUUGCUGCGGUGAAGACGCCCUUGCCUGUCAGCCAGCGCUCUGUGACCCGUCUGGGGAGGUGCCAGCGCAGCCCCUGUGUCCGUCUUGGGGAGGCUUCGUCCUACAGAGGUGGAGCUCAGCUCUGUCACUGUGCCCUGCUCGAGUCACUCAUUACUUCAGUUCCGAUUGCUGUGUGGGAAAUGUUUGGUUGUUAUAGCCCUGCCAGCAUGAGUGUUUUCAGCUGUAAAGACAUGCCUCGAUACAAGUUUUGCAUAUAUUUGGAUUCUUUCAGAAAGUAUUUCUCCUCUUCUGAAUAGAAGAAGAAACUUAGAGGGGAAUUGGAAGGGGCAAGUAAAGUUCCCAACAAAGAGUGUCUCAUCCUCUUUCCUCCUUUUGUUCCACACAGCACAUCAAGAGAGUUUUAUUUUAAACUUUUCAUUUAAAGUUCAGAUAUGCACAAACUAUCUUUGCUGCCCUGCACUGGGUUAGGGUAGUACCACAUUUCACAAAUAGCCCCAUUAAAGCCAGUGUUUGUUUUUUUGUGGAGAUUUGAACCAGUUAUUUGAUUGCCCUAAAGCAAAAUGAUCGGCUUUGCAUUUUUCAUGAUGAGUUGUGUUAUAUUUUCUCAAGUGUGAUGUAAACUCUUGGCGGACUCUUCCUUAUGCUAUGCCUGAGGGUUGUGGUCCUGCUGAUUUCACUCUUCCUGGUCUCGGCUACCCUGUUCUGAAGCUGAAUGAACGUUCUACCAAACAGCCCAGCCACAGGCUGUGGCCACGUGCCAGCUCCCCGGUAGCGUGAAUGCACGAACCUUUGGUUCCGUGGCUGGUGCUGUGGGUUUGGGGACGCUGGGCCGUGCCUUGUGAUGAAGAACCAUGGCACGGUCCUGGGGAAAUGACCGUGCUUUGUCUUGGCACAGUGGAAUGAAAUACUUUCCUUCAUCUUUCUUAGUUUGGUUGUGAACUGGUUCUUGUGAAUUUGGACUCUGAAUGCUGAACAGUAAAUAUUUAUGAAAUGUAAUGGCCAAGA